CAAUGCUAAUCAAUUAGAGAUUCAGUACUUUCAGGCGGAAGGACUGCUUCCAGAGUGAACACACUGCCUCGUCUACACACAGGACUGCUUCCAGAGUGAACACACUGCCUCCGCUACACACAGGACCGCUUCCAUAGUGAAGACGCUGCCUCCGCUACACACAGGACCGCUUCCAGGAGACUCUGACCAGCUGCAAGAGCCAUCAGGAACCAACAGACCAAGGACGGCUUUGACAGAAGAGGCGAAGCAGAGGCUGUCUGAAGAGGUCUGCGACAUCAUCCUGGCUCACACCAAAGCAAGGUUCUCUUUCACUGGCCACCUUGUGAGUGCUACCUUAGUACAAG
ensembl:lncRNA